CCUACGGGGGGCUGCAGUGAGGAAUAUUGGUCAAUGGGCGCAAGCCUGAACCAGCCAUGCCGCGUGAAGGAUGAAGGCCCUAUGGGUUGUAAACUUCUUUUUUACGGGACGAAACUGGGCUACGUGUAGCUUACUGACGGUACCGUAUGAAUAAGCAACGGCUAACUCCGUGCCAGCAGCCGCGGUAAUACGGAGGUUGCAAGCUUUAUCCGGAUUAAUUGGGUCGUAGGGGUGAUAAUAAGUCAUAGUAGAAAACCUGUCGCUUAACGAUAGAACUGCCAUUGAUACUGUUAUUCUUGAGUAUAGUUGAGGUGGGCGGAAUGUGUAGUGUAGCGGUGAAAUGCUUAGAUAUUACACAGAACACCAAUUGCGUAGGCAGCUCACUAAACUAUAACUGACGCUGAGGCACGAAAGCGUGGGGAGCAAACAGGAUUAGAUACCCGGGUAGUC
rnacentral:rRNA from 1 species